AGCAAGAUCUCAGGAGAAAGCAAGGGGGAGGGGGCCACAUGUGCAGAAAAUCACCAUAGGGGGGCUGGGUAUCUAAGAACUGUGGGGAAUCCUGUAGGGAGUCAGUAGCAGCACUGACACUCCAUCCGAUGGGCAUGAAGGACAAGAGGGUCUCAGAACACAGACUGCAAGGAUUAUGAGGAGUUGAGGCCACUUCACGGAGAUGAUGGGUCCAGAGACCCUUCCUUGUCUGCUUCUGAUCCAGGGCAGAUGCCUCUCUAGCUGAACCCAACUACAUAACAGGAUCCUUAGGUACCUAGGGCAGAGAGUACCAGACAAGGCACAAAGUGUGGCUGCCUCUAGAAAGGAGGAGGAACUUGACGCUGAACUGCAAACCUCACCAUCUUACUGCUUUUUAUACUGUUGAUGGUUAAUAUGUCAGCCUGACAGGGUCUAGGCUCCCUUGACAAAUAUGUCUCCGGACAGCAUGUGAGGAAGGCAAGAUUAAGUUAACUGAGUUAGGCAACGCUAGUGUAUGGGGCUGCAGUCCAGAACUGAAUAGGGAAGGAGAAAAUGAGGAACUCACAGAUGACUCUCUCUCUGCCUCCUGAGUAUGGACACAGUGUGAUGUGCUGCCUCAAGCUCUUGCUGCCACGGCCACGACUACCCUCAUGACAGACCGUGCCCUUAAACUGCAGGCCGAAAUAAACCCUUCCUUAAGAGGCAUUAUUCUGGGUAUUUCAUCACGGCAACAAGACAAGGAACUAAAAGUCCAUGUCAUUGUGAUAACCCUCCAACCGCUUGGAGCCUGUGAAAGGACCCAGCAUUUGAAACUGAGUUUAAUCGAAUGAUCAGGGAAAUUAGUUUUGAGACUUUGCAAUCAAUACUUCUAUACAAAGGAGUCUUUUAAUUUGUAAAUUCUUAAGUCUUUUUAUUAGUCUAUAAGUGAGGUUUGAAUUUUUAAAAGAACAUUAUGUGCGUAUGACAUUGAGGCCCUGUGUAUUAAAUUAGCUACACACAGGACUAGCACUGCUGUCCAUGCACACAGCUCAGAAGCUCCCGAGCUGCUCAUAUUAGUGCGGACCAGGACCCCACGAUGCAAGCUCCAACUCCAGAGCCCGCCAGAAAGAUUUCAUUGUUCCUGCCAUGGACUGCCCUUCUCCUAGCUUGCUGACUGCCAGGCAUUCUUGUGGGGGUGGUAUUUCUGCUGCAUAACCUUGUUCUUAUCCUUUUGCUUUUGAGGUACAUGUGCUUGACUCCUAAACAAGGCUGUGAAGUCAUUAGGGGACAAGGUCUCACCCUUCAGAGUCUUUGCGUCCUUCCAUGUCCUGUUUCUCUCAAUAUAGCGCUAAACACAUACAUCCUCGGGGAGUGGGGGUCGAUUGCUUGGAUUUGUUUAGCCUUGUGUGCAGUGAGUACUACGUUACUAGUUGAUGCUGUCAACUUGGUGGGAUCUAGAAUCACCUAGGAGACAAACUUCUGGACGUGUCAAUAAGAGAGUUUCUAGACCGAGUUGACUGAGGUAGGAAGACGAAUCCUAAAUGUGCACAGCACCCACCGUUCUCUGGCCUGGGGGUCCAGAUGGGCAGAAGGAAGGAAGUGAACUGAGCACCAGCACCACUCUUUCUGUUCCUGCCUGGAUGCUGUGGGGACAGCUGUCUCAAGCUCUUGCUUCCGUGCCUUCCCCCUGGAUGGUACCCUCAAACUGGGAGCCCAGAUAAACCCUUUCUUCCUUGAGUUGCUUUGGACAGGCAUCUUGAUACAGAAAUAGGAAAGCAGUCAAUACAACCACAGACACAGUCCUGAAUGUGUCCAGGUUUGGUCAAGGGAGAUCUCCUAGAGUACAGUAGAGGCCAUGGGCAUGGCCCACCUGAGGUUUGAGUACUGAGGAGUUUCACCAGGAUCUCUACCUGUUGAAGCUGCUUCCCUCUGCAGGAGGAGACUCUGUCUCCAGCUCACUUCACCGUCACCGUCAGGGACAAUGGGACUGCCUGCCUGCAUUGUGGAUGUCUUAGAUGCUGAUAUCUUCUUUGGAUAUAAGUUAGGCAUUUUUGAUGAGCUUCAAACUUUGUUAGGAGAAUUUAUCAGUGGGUAUCUGUGAUGUACCAGGCCCUGGGGUCACAGUGGCAGAGGCCCCCAGACAAUAAUAUAAUCCAGUCAGUGUUCAGAAAAUGACACCAAACAGCAUGUGCUCAGUGACAUGAGCUCAGUGACAUGUAGCCACUGCUGAGUGACACGAUGUCAGAAAAUGGCUCAUGAAGAAAGGGACAAGGAGGCAGCAUGGGAAUCAGACUAUUCAGGGACAAAGAACAGUGUAAGACUGGUGGGUGUGCACUUCUGAUCAUGCCGUGUUAUCCAGGGCACCACUGACGGAUUCCUGCAGGGGAGAAAGGCAGCCUCUGAGAGGAUUCAGUGUCAAGGGUUCAGGAUAGGCUUUCAAAGUGGAACUGGGGAUAGGAUGUACUGAAAUUAGUGUUCUUCAUUUCAGAGGUCCUUUUGGUUUCUUAGCAAUGGCUAUGCCAUAGUUUGGGGCAUUCCAAAAUGAGGAUUUUAAAAUGAGAUGUAGCUAAGGAUGGGUGGCGUAGAGUGGAAAUAGGACUGAGAGAAAUGGGCAGGGGACAUGAGGAAUCUGGAAAUGAGGUUCUGCUCUUUAGGAAGAACCGAUGUUCUUAGUAUCCAAAGGAAUCGGUUCCCAGAUCCCCAUGGACACCAGGGUUCACAGAUGCUGAAGCCCCUUUAUGAAAUAGCAGUUUCCAAUGACCUGUACACAUCUUCCCACACACAGGAAUAUCUCAACUGACUAUAAUGCCAACUACAGUAACCAAGUCUAUAAAUGUUCAACACAGAAGCAAAUUUCCCCAAGUAUUUCCCACACAGAACUUGUUGAAUCUAUGGUGUAAAACCUGCGGCUACCAUGAGCCACACACACAUACUCACAGAUGAGCUUGCCAGGUGCUCACGCACCAGUGAGUGCUGGAGAAGGCUGGUCCAGACCUGCUUCCUGACCUCCUCAACCCCACACAUUGCACAACAGCCUCCUCUAAAUUCAAACACUCCCUUCAGGAGGAAGUAGAGGGCAUGUAAGACUCAGGAAGCAAACAAACUUCACAUACUUGGAAAACUUACAAGACUCCUAAGGGCUAACCCCUCCGACUCCAGGGUUACAGAAGCCGAGAACAACUGUGGGGAACGAGGUAUGUUCUGACGAGAAGGAUCGUGGAGGCAGAGGCUGAGCUGCAGACAGGAGAUUCUCAGCCGUACUGAGAUUCCAUGCUUUCAGGAGUCUUGUCUGUGUCAGGCUGGGCUUCUCAGUGCUGCUGCUUCUGAGACAUCCUGGCUCCUGUUGUGACAAGAAUCCAGAGUUUCUUGUUAGAAGGUUGGGCUUGGAUGAGAACAUCCAUGGCAGGGGACUUGGCUAGAAACAUGAGCAGCUGGAGACAGGACAGGGAGGAGGCUGGGUCACACAAAGGGGGACCAUUUCCUCCCAUUGGAAGAACUGCUAGAGGAGACAAUACAUCAGACCAGCAUCUUUUCAGAGCUGAGGACCGAACCCAGGGCCUUGCACUUGCUAGGCAAGAGCUCUACAACUGAGCUAAAUCCCCAACCGUUCAUGAACUCUUAACAAUACGGCUGGCCAGACAAGACCAAUGUAAUGACAUCAGCUGACAUGCCAAUUACCAACAGGAGAAAUCUCAUGUGGUCCCAAACCUGGGUGGAGAGCUGUAGGUAGUCAGUGACUGCUGAAGAAGAAUAGUUAGUCUCCCCGCUCCCAGGAUCAGCCUCCACAACAUGGAUGUAGAGUCUCAAGUGGACGCAUGUACACAAGAACAAAGUCAAGUGAACUCCAUAAGUUAAAUACAUAUGGGUGCACAUUCAUACUCAUAUAUACAUGUAACAAUAAUUAAAGAAGAAAAAUGGGGUGCAUGUUUCUCUCUCACACACUGAUUUCCACCCACUUCCGUCCCUGUCAAGAAGGGAAGAGCUGCCAUAGUAGUAUAGCACUACCCCCCCGCCCCCAGUCACUCACUCCCUCCUCACACUUGGUGUCUAACCAUUCCUUUACUCUAUCUGACAUCACAUCCCAGGUAGAGGAUCCUCUGUUUGUGCUCCCAUAGCAUCCAACAGUACUCUCUCCGUCACUAAACUCCCCACAGUUAGAAGUCAGGACUACCCUGUGGUGGAUGGGGCUUUUGGGGGAUCAGCACAAUGUCUGACUCAUAGUUCCAUAGCUCAGAUCAAAUGAAGAUGUCAGUGAAUGAAUAUAGAAAUAUCUAGCCAUCCGACCCCUCCCGACUAUCCCAGGUCCUGCUGUGCGCUGGGCACUAUGCUGUGCCAUAGAGCUAUCCUAUGAUGGGGAGAGUUGGGACUUUAAGUUCUACCGAGGUAUUGGACAUAAAGGGAACACUCUGGCUACUGUCUGGGUAAGCAAGUUUCAGCUAGGGUGUGGAUCUGGGGUGGUCCGUCAUCACAGUGUCCCUUUGACUCACUUCCAGUGGAUCUGGCCUGUCAGCAGUGUCCCUCUGACUCACUUCCAGUGGACCUGGCCCAUCAUUACAGUGUUCCUCUGACUCACGUUCCAGUGGACGUGGUCCGUCAUCACAGUGCCCCUUCUGACUCACCUUCCAGUGGACCUGGUCCGUCAUCCAGUGCCCCUUCUGAUUCAUUCCAGUGGACCUGGUCUCAUUAUUACAGUGCACUCUCUGACUCACUUCCGGUGGAUGUUGUCCCAUCAUCACAGUGCCCCCUCUGAUUCACUUCCGGUGGACCUGGCCCGCCAUCACAGUGUCCCUCUGACUCAUGGUCCAGUGGACGUGGUCUCUUCAUCACAGUGCCCCCUCUGACUCACUUCCGGUGGACAUGGUCCCAUCAUCACAGUGCCCCCUCUGAUUCACUUCCGGUGGACCUGGUCCGCCAUCGCAGUGUCCCUCUGACUCACGUUUCAGGUUCAUGGUUAUCAUUGUUCCUUGGGACUAUUUGAAGCCUUCUCUCUAUCCGUGAUUCCUUAUAAGUGAGAACCAUUUUAGCAAUUUGAAUGGUAUUUUUGUCCCACUGACAUUAGUUUGGCGGGAGUGAGGACUGUCCUCUGGAGAACAGCUGCCCCCAUACCCUGCCUCAUUGCUAAAUGCUUCAUCAGAGCUUUAGGUAGGUAAAAGCUGGGCUCUGCUUUACAUAUAAACAAAGUAUUUCUCAGAAGCUCUUUAAAAAUGCUGAGGUUUCCAGGAAUGAGAUUAGCGUGUAAAGUGAGGGAAGAUUAUAUUGUUUACCGAGAGCCAACCAUCACUUAGGACACGAUGUUACCACCAGCAGUGCCCUUCAGUGCCGGGGGUCACACAGCUGGCCCGCAGCAGGCUGCACGUGUGCGUCGACGUGACCAAGAGGCUCAAGCAUCCCCAAUUCACCCCCACACUUCCACCUCAGCACUUACUUGAGGAAAUACACAUUUGCUUCUUACUAUAAAUUUCCUUCUAAUUAGUUCUAAGUUCCAGAUUCUGUUAAGAUAAUCGUUUAUGUGCAGGGAUUAAAUGUUGAAAUAUCUUGGGCUGAAUGGUGUUCCCUGGAGAAGACCUGUCAAAAGUCUAUGCUCCAGUAGCUUGUAACAUACUUAUAUAGGUGUAAGGCCUAUAUAGAAAUAAUCAAACUAGGAGUUGGGGAUUUAGCUCAGUGGUAGAGCACUUGCCUAGCAAGUGCAAGGCCCUGGGUUCGGUCCCCAGCUCCGAAUAAAAGAAAAGAAAAAAAAAAAGAAAUAAUCAAACUAAAAUGAGGUUCAAACCUCAUUUUAAUCUAAAGAUUUAAAUUAAAUAAAGUAUUUUAUUUUAUUUCAAUAGAUUAAAUAAAAAUAAUUUAAAUAAAGAUGACUGGCAUCUUUAUCUAAAAAGCAAACAGAGACACAAAGACACACGGAAAGAGAGAAGAUGACAGAAGAGGAGGACCCAGUGGGGUGGGAAAGGUGGGUCAGUGGUUAGAGCAUUUGCUGCUCUAGCAGAGACCCAAGUUGGGUUCCCAGCAUCUGUGUCAGGUAGCACAGUCUGCUGUAGCUCUUGCGCCAGGUGAUCUGGCACCUUCUUCUAGCCACCAAGGUUCCUGUAUUUAUGUGCACAGUCCCAUACACAUACACAUAAUUAAAAGUAAAAUAAAUCAGAGACGGGCAGAUCUCUUUCUAGUGGAGUCAACCUAGGUUACACAUUGAGCUCCAGGCUACAUAGUGAGACCCUGUCUCAAAUAAAUAAUUAAUUAAUCUUUUUAUUUAUAUAUACACCUUUAAUUUUGUUGUUGAAACAGUGUCUUGCUGUGUCAUCCUGUCUGGCUUAAAACUCACAGUGAUCUAUUUGCCUCUGCCUCCUGAGUGCUGGGAUUAAAGGUGUGUCCCACCACAUCUUCUUAUUUUAAAGGACACAAAGUUGCCAUCUACAAACCAGAGAAAGAUAUGGAACAGAAACAGGCGUGGGAAGAAGGUGGCCUGGCCUACACUUGGAUCUUUGACUUCUGCCUCCCAGACACUGAGACAAUGCAUUUGUGGCUUAGGUUUCUUGAGCCACAUAGUCUCUGGUUUCUUGUUAUGUCACUCUUAGCUAAAUAACAUGAUUUUAUUCCAGAGAAUGAAAGAGAAGUGAAAUACAGUUCAAAAAUGAAAAGGUUUGGGGUAUGGUGUGCUCGACAGACUGUCAAAUAGAGCUGCUGAAAAAAUGGUUCCAAAUGGCAGUGAUAACAUAAAACUCAGGCUUGGCCUGACCACAAGCAACAGUGGAACGGUUUAUUACACUAUCAGAAAUAAGGAAAGCCUUAAACAUCUAGCAAAAGCCAAGCAAACCUGUAGCCCAGAGACUUCCGGAGCUUGAGAAGGAUAGACCACAGCAAUUAAGUUAAAAAACAAAGACAUUUCAGCCUCGGGGAUGUGUUGGACACUCGUCCUGGUGUCUACAAACAGCUCCGCCUGGGUCCAAUAUUUACUGGGCAUGAAGUACCUUGUGUCUUAGGCAGCUGAACUACUCCAAAGAUGUAGGCAGGGCAGAGAAAACUAUCCUCAUUUUAGAAAUGAGACGUCUGUGGCUGUUAGACUAAUUUGCCUAGAGUCGAAUAAUCAAUUCUUGUUUUAUUAACCAUAAUUUAUCUUGGUUAUAAGAAACAGUAAGCAGUGUUAAGUACUCAUGUAAAAUAAUUAAUAGAACAGUUUCUCCCAAGCUACGUGAGACUGGUCUUUAAGAGGCCAGACCCACAACUUCCCCUGAGGCCCUGUCCUACAGGGAGUGAAGGGUCUUUACCCACACAGCUGCUCAAAAGAUGAGCCCGUGGCCGAUCCUCGAGAUCUCAUUCUCCGAUCAAAUUUCCAACUCCCUGGUGAGAAAAUCCAACUGUUGAGUCUGCUGCAUAAGUCUACGUUCCUAAACUGUGGCCUGACAAAAGGGUCAUGUGAUACAAGCAAGGUGUGGUAGAGGCUUGGUAGAGAGAGGAAAACCACAUGCCUGACCAAGAGGCAGGGAGAUCUACCCUCUGGCUUUCUACCCCACCCAAACACUCCAGGCUGUUCUAGUUUGUUUUCUGUUGCUGUGAUGAAUAUCAGAACCAAAAGCAACCUAGGGAGGAAAUGAUUAUGUUUUCCGUAAUAAUUAGGUGUUUGGAUCAGAAUUCUUUCUCAUACUUGGGUCAUCUGAACAGUGAGAGGCGUCAUAAAAGGUAUACUUGUCACUUUAAUCCAGAACUCCGGCUGGCGCCCAUAUUUGCCUUUUUGGCCAUUGGUCAGUUUCCUUUCCUGCGAUCCACACAUAUGAGGGAUCCCUCAGAAAGCGGGAGAAUGAGUUGUUUGAACUAUAUCUCAGAGUCCUUUCAUACCUUGGUGUUUGCUACCAUUUUGACUAGCCUCUGCACCUCUCACCGCUGCCUGUGUGUCUCCUGACUGGCCAGUCUCUCAGAAGCCUACUUAAUCCCUCGUUGAUGCUGCCAAAGGUUUACCUCAGGACUCACAGCUACUCAAAUUCUGUGUAAAGAUGCCCAAUGCCUACAGAUGGCGUCCUUGUCCCCAUCCCCAGACUCCCUCUGCUUAGGUGUUAAGAUCAAUUUGACUCAGCUCUGCACAUACAUUCCCUUUAAUUAUCACCGUGGUAAGCAUGAUUGUUCUUACUUUCCAGCCUUACAGACGUCAGUUCUCAGAUCACAAGCCAAAGGUCACAGGCCAGUAAACAGCAGACUUACAUUUCGAAUUCAGAUCUGAGUGGAAAGCAAAUUCCUUUUCUACUUGGUCAUGUUAAAUCUUAACUAACAUGUUACUGCUCUCCAGGGACACCAAACCAGAGAGAGAGAGAGAGAGAAUAUAUGACAGCGACAGUGACGAAGGUGACUGGGAAGUGGCUUAGGAUGAAGAUAAGAAAGCCUGAGAUACAGGGUGUGGUGUGGUGGCUCACACCUUUAAUCCCAUCACCCAGGAUGCAGAGGCAAGCUGAUCUCUGAGUUUGAGGCCAGCCUGGUCUACAGAGCAAGUUCCAGGACAUCCAGAGCUACACAGAGAAACACUGUCUCAAAUAUGAAUGAAUGAAUGAGGCAGGGAGGGGCAUACAUUCAGUGAAAGUCCUAAUGCUUGAGCACCUAAGGAAGCUGAUGCUCUAAGUCGCAGUCUGGUCUCCCUCUUCCAUUCAUUCUACCAGUGAAUACCCAUCCAUAUUCUGCAGCCACUGAUUCAAAUGUCAACUGUGGAAUCAAACACAAUGGGUUGACUUCUGGGUGAGUGGAGAGCUAUGCAGCAAACAUAUUCAAAGAAAUAAAAGAACAGGUUUUAUUACCUCCAAUGAACUUCCCAAUGGCCUCCCUGACAAAGGAAAGCCAGGCUUGGUUUAAGCACUUACACUUACCAUCUAAGGAAGAACUUUAGGGGAAGGUACCUUCCUGAGCAUGCUCCGUCUAAGCCUGCAGAUCAAGGGGAAGAUAGUGAAUCCAUUUAUAGACAUGCUUAUGUCAUACAUUAUGGGGCACGCACUGGAGACAUCAAAAUGGAAAAGAGCUGUCCUUUGGGGCAGUCUCAAUUAGUGUUGUAAAGAGGAUGCUCAGUUUAACAGAAAGAGGUAGGCAGACAUUUUGAAAGUAUAUUGAUAUAGGCUUUUGCCCCUAGAGAUGCCUGCUUCACUCAGAGGCUCUAACAGUGUCAGCCCAAAACACCCUUACAGAAACACCAAGAAAUAUUGCUCCAUAGAACCCUCCUGGAAGUCAGGUGAAACAUAAAAUCAACCAUCACUCCCAAGUAGCCAUGGCUAAUUAGGCAAUGUUUCCUGUAUGGGAACCAUGAAAUCCACCAUAGAGAUACAGUGUAUCUAUUUAGCUGGAAGUGAUACUUAGUGUUGACUGCACAAGGAGCUGAGGGCCCGACCCCACCAACACAUGUUGACUUUCACACUCAUGUUGGUUAUAGAAGAAUAGGCAGGACAACAAGAAGGGGUGAAGUUUUGAGGCAGGAGCCAGGGGGAAAUAACUCACUGCUGCUUCUGGGCUGGAUGGAGUGACAGCAUGGGACCUUUACACAGAAAUGAUGUGCAGCGGCCUUGGGGUCAAAUAGAAGUUUCAAUGCACAUUGAGGUCACUAUAUAGUGUCUUUUUGGUUUGUCCUGAAGCCAUUCACUAAUUCACACCUUAUAACUCUUCCUUCUUCCAUCCCCCAGCCCUUGCCUUUAAAUUUAUAACAGCUUACGAGUUUUCUUCUUUUCUAUUCUUUUCUUUUCUUUAGUUCUUUCCUUAUUUUUAAGCUCUGAUUUUUUUUAGACUGGAGCUUUCUGUACACUGCGCAGACUGGGAUUUGACUGGCCCCCCUCCUCCUCCUGGGUCUCUUAGGUAUUCACUACCAUAUGUGGCAGAAUUUUUCUUUUAACAUUCGAGAAAUCUGAGAACAAGUAAACUAGAUAAAAGAAGAUAAAUUAGAGAGUGAAAACCAGUCCAGAGGCUGCAGUGAUGGGACAAGAUGUGACAGCUGUGAGGAACAGAGACUGAUUUGUAUUCGGAGAGCAGGGCACUAGUACAGAUGUCCAGUAUAAAGCAAAAGUCCUAAGGCUGGACAUCCAGAGGGGCUUUGAGUCGGCACCAAAUGGCCUACAGUGGAGUCCAGAAAAGAAAGCAAAGACUGUAAUCUAUUGUAGCACCACUCCUAGCUAAAUGACGUCUUUGUGUGAUUUUGACUAAAUAUAGCCCGGAGAUCAGAAGCUUUUAGCUCUGGCCUUACUUUGCCAGACUGGCUGUGUGUGUGUCUCUCUCUACAGGCCUCUCUCUCUCUCUCUCUCUCUCUCUCUCUCUCUCUCUCUCUCUCUGUGUGUGUGUGUGUGUGUGUGUGACUGUGUGUGUCUUUUUGUAUGUGUGUUUGACUGUGUGUGUCUUUUUGUGUGUGUGUCUAUGUGUGUGUUUGUGUGUGUGUGUGUUGUGUCUGUGUGUCUGUGUGUCUGUGUCUGUGUUUCUGUGUGUCUGUGUCUAUGUGUGUGUCUGCCUGUGCAUUGCCUGUGCAUACGCUGACAAGAGCCCAGGUCCCAGAUGGCGUGUGCCUGUCUAGCACUAUGUAGAGUCCUUUGCCCACAGUGAAUUAACUAUGCCUCAUCUCUCUUCAUUUUCCUGGCCUCCCGUGACUCUCCUAUUUUCCUGGUGUGGAGUUUUGAAUAAGAAUGGCCCACAGGCUCACACAUUUGAAUGCUUGGUCUUCAGGGAGUGGCACUACUUGAGAGAGAUGGGGAGCUGUGGUCUUAUUGGAGGAAGUGAGUCACUGGGGGUGUGCUUUGGGGUUUCAAACACUCAAACCAGGCCCAGUGGCCCUCUCUUCCUGUUACUUGUGGAUCCAGAAGUAGCUACUUCUCCAGCAUCACAUCUGCCUUCUGAAUAGCUACGCUUUCUGCCGUGAUGACAAUGAACUGAACCUCUGAAACGGUUUCACUAACUAAAUGCUUUCUUCUACAAGAGUUGCUGUGGCCAUGGUGUCUCCUCCCAGCAAUAGAGCACUGACUAAGACUCUCGGCAUCAGGGCUUCAGCCUCCAACAGCCUGAAAGGGAAUCUAAAACCGGAAGGCUGGGAGAAGCCACAUCCAAAACCAAUCAGGGGGCUACACGAGACGAGAGUCUGGGAGAAGCCCAGCAGGUGGGGUUCUGACCAGGGUGACAUCAAGGGAUGGCCCAUUGUCGGAAGCCAGGCUGGUGGACAAGAAAGCUGUGUGGACAUGAUAGAACUAGUGGGGACCCGUCUGCUAUGAGAUGGAUGGACAGGGGUUGUGCGGACUCCAUCGCCAGUGGGUGUCUCCAUAGCACUGCACAUCUACAGCCAACUUGCAGAUCUGAAAGCCUCGAGAUGCUAACAACGCUCAGGCCAGGAGUUAGACCUUUCUUCCAUCUCACCCAGAGCCUAUUAGCUUCUUCUGUUCCUGGCCCGAGAGAGGGGACUCACUGUGAGAGCUAUCAGCAGAGUGGGUCAUUAGUCACCCAAAGUGAAGGAUGCUUCGGAGAGAAUUCGUACUGGCCACCUACAAUCCUAAUCCUGUCCUCCUGUGCUGACUACAGCAUUUUCCAGAAGGUACCCGCUAUUAAAGUGCUCUCCAUUUAGCUCUUGUUGGGAUCCGCACCAGCAGUUAACUUCCAAAGGCAGCUUCAAAAUCCUCAUGGCUGUGCUCUGAACCCCGCCAAUUAUAUUUGCCUGGAAAGUCAGUCGGGGCUAAAACCUGGGAGUGAUUUUGAGGCCACAUUUUCAUAGAAGAAGGCAGUCUGUCAGAACUGACAGUUUUUGUAGAUGCCAGUCUCACAGAGCCUUUCAUGUGAGUGUUAGCAGAUGUGGGGCUGGUUGCAUCGGGGAAGGGGAGCUUGUCUGAAACACAUACAUAAAACACACACAUUGUCCUGUUUAGCACCCAGUAGGCCUGGGGGAUAGGGUCAUCUGGAGAACAUCAUUGCCGGAAAUGCAACUAGAGGCUUUCAAUUAAAAUUAAUUACCUCAAUUCUUUGCAUAUUAUACUAGACCUGCCGAUGUCAUACUAGGGCCACAAACUGCUCUCUGGGGUAGGCUCUAGGCUGAGGGUUUUUUUUCCAGAUACUACAGAUGGUGUGUGUGUGUGUGUGUGUGUGUGUGUGUGUGUGUGUGUGUGUGUGUGUGUCUGUGUGUCUGUGUAUGUAUCAGAAUGGAACCACAAAGCCUGGACCCUCUAAAUGCAAAGAAACCUUAGGUGGGGAUUAUGGAAAACCAUGCUGGUGCUUGGUCCCUUCCUCCUCAGUGGAGCUCAGUGUAGGCCAGGCAGUCUUAAAUACUUUUCCUCUAUCCUCUACCAAGUCCCACUCACCUGGAGGACAAAAACCUCCCAGGCAAAGCCCACAGGGAUCUUUUGCCUUUGUUCCUCCUCACCUAGGCACUCCUGGGCACAUGGCACAAGCCUGUAUGCUCCUUCCCAUCCUAGACCAUGAAGUCACAGUUGGGGUCUCUCCUUGUUGGAAUUCUCUCUGUGGCUCUGCGGCCCUGAAGAGAGUGACGAGGUGUGCAGACUUGAGGUGAGUGACACUUAUAGUGCCUUCUGAGUUGGAGGAAGAUGAUUAUUCAAAACAGCAUAGGACUAUCCACGCUGAUCAUGAAUACAUUGAGCUAUGAGUGGUCCAGGUUGCCAUAGUAACUCCCACAGGUGGGCUGGCUUUGACCAACUGAAAUUUACUGGUUGACAAUGGAGAGAUUACUUGCUUAUCCUAAACACUUUCAUUUUCUUCUGGCGUUUGUACACAGUCCUCCUUCUGGGUAUCUAUAACCUAAUUCUCCCUUCUCAUGAUGACGACAGGCUGAUUGAAUGGGAGGCCACCCUACCUCUCGCCACCUCAGUCACCUCUGAAUACCAUCUCAUCCAAAAAAGCACUGCACAUUAGGCCGUCAAUAUACAAAUUUGGACGGAGACAUAAUUUUAGUCCCUAAUAGUCACACGGUAAGUACCUAACAACUUUAGACCCUCCCCUUUUCUCUAGACCCUCCCUCGUCACACACACCCCUCACUAGCUAGAAUGAAGCUUGAGGGGAAGACCUAGAAAAUCAGUUGCUUCUAGGUCAGUGUUCUGGAGGAAGCUUUUGAAGGGAGCAACUGGUAAGCUGUCUCCCUGGUUCAUGGGGGCCCCCAAGUACCUUGCAGUGUGUAUGCGGAUUGGCUACUCUGCCUUGUGGCUGUGACCCCAGCCUUCAGGUAAGAAUCCUCCAUAUAGGAUUCCCAUCCCCACCACGGCAGCUGAUGCCACUUAUGCUUCGGUUCUGGGGAGUGGGGGAGACCCCACUCCUUCCAGGCCUGCCCCGGGCACUUGUGAUCUCAUAAGACAGAAGAGGCCACAGGCAGGCCUCAAUGGAGAUGGGCUUAAGGCACCAGCAACCAGAGGCUGCCAGAGGCCUCCUGCAGCCAUUUCACGACUGCCUUCAUCCUUGUCACUAAUGAGCCUUCGAUUCCAGGAAACUCUGAAAGGAAGAAGGGACACCUGCAUCCUGUUGGGAGAGAGCCCUGACGUAGUGAAAAAGCACAAUGAGACAGAGCUAGGAGUGGCACAGGCCAGAUGAGGGUCACGAGGGCUCAGGAGAAGAUGGUGACCCAGCUGAGUCUGGAAUGGGGAGGAUACUACAGCUGAAUGCAAGCCGGAGGCCCAGAAACAGGACACACACGGUACAGGGGCCAAUUUCCAUGUAACCAGGUGAGCCACAGCCUGAGCAGAAGACCAAGUCCUCUUAAGCGGAGGCCGGGGCUUUGAACACACCUGAGAGGGUGCUCAAAGCCUGUCUGCCACCAGGCAUCUCUACAGACAGACCCCGAGUGGGAGAGGCCAGUCUGUUCUCUCUCGGCCCCUACACCUCUGCUGUGUCUGAACUAAACCCUGCCCUGCAGCUUGGCAGCCCCAAACACUCUGCCCACUGUCAGCAUUACUGCUUUCCAGGAAUCUCCUGUUUUUCAAACUAUUUUUGCCAAGAUGUGUUUUUUUUGCAAACUCCUGGGCCCACCUCCCUUCCCCUCAGUUGAACUGAUGAAACCAUUCAUCUUCCAGCCCCAAGCAGACUCCCUGACACCCCACCCUCACUCCAACUCACUCCAGGUUCUGGCCAAGAACCAGAAGUCCUAGAUGUGGAAGGCAGGCCUGUUUGUCUCCACCAGAGCUGGCGGCACCGAGGGGCUGUGGUCUGCUCGCCCCCUGGCAGUGCACACACUGGCAGACACUCCCCAGGGUACACACUUGUACUGCAAGCUACGUGUUCUGGCAAGAAACAGCAAAGACUCAUUUCCGUCUAUAUUUUGACAGAGAUUAAGGGCAAAGGCCUUUUCUAAAUCAUUCUCCAAAGAGCCAUACUUCAGACUCGUUCUGCAGCUCAGUGUCUCCCGCCCCACAGAAGCCCAUCAAUACUCAUCAAUACGGUAGAUAUUUGUUCAAAUUCCAUAGUGAGUGCAGGUUGGCGAUGGAGGAAGGGCUUCAGGCUUGAUCAUGCCUGGUGCCUGGCUAUUGUUUUAACUCAACUGUGCAAGAAAACCAUGGUGUUUACCAGCCCACAGCCAUCCUUCAGCAGACCCCACAGACACCUAAGGAUGGAAGAUAUAUUGAGUUAUGGAGUAUGAAAUAUUAUCAGAGUUUGGUGUCUAUUAAUGUCUUAAGGAGAAUUCCAUCCUAUGGGAAAAUCUAAAAAUCCCAUAGCAAGUACAUAGAUCCCACUCACUUUCCUUCUCCCUGUCCCCAGAUACCUCCUGGUUUAGUUACCCAAGAGCAGCCACGGUUGUCUCUGCUGCCUCGAGCUAUCACAAAGGUACCACUCCGGGACACGGGUUGAAGACACACAGCCUUUUAACAUGACAUUUAACUGAGAGUUGGUGCCAAAGAGUCCUUGUGAGGAAGAGUCUCACUGUAUUCGGGGCAGCUAGAGUCAACCCACGCGCCUCCCUCUGGGGCUCAAAGGACUUGGGUUGUGGGACCUGCAGGCACCACCGUCAUCACCGACAGUCUCUUAUCUUAAAAUCCGAGCCCAUCACAAAUGGUGGGAACUCGGAGUGGAGGAAGGAGUGCGAGCUGCCAGAGUGGAGAGCAAUGAAGAUCUCCCCCAGGGACAGGAGCGCCCUUGGCCUGUGCCAUUGGCAAGGAGAAUGUGCCUGUGACUUAAAGAUCCACAGUGUGCGCGCAGUCUGCGGUCCUGGCAACGUGGUAGGCCCUGGGAGCGUGAUGAGGAAGAGGACACACACAACCACCUUGCUCACGUAGUUUCUGUGGUUAGUAAGUAACAACAAAAGUCAACAAUAAAAGGUCGCCACUCGAUGACUACAAUGAGGGAUGAAAGAAACUGUGGAGACUCAAUGACUUGUUCAUACUGGUUUAGGGUCUCACCUAUCCUGCACUAAACCCAGAGACUGUCAGACACGUGAUAUACAGAAAGCUGGAGUGCUUGACCUAGGCUAUUUCUGUUGGGGUUUAAAUCUCGGCCCGCGCCCGGACAAAGCACACCUAGCCAACACGGUUCCACGCGGAGAGGUUUAAUGAGAGAAGAGUAGCAGAGGGCAGAAGUAAAGGAGGCCGGCCGUGGGCACCUGGAGGGAAGGGGGAGCUAUGAGGAGAGAAGGGACAGAGGGAAGAGGGCAAGAGAGCAGAGAAGAGGAAGAGCAAGAGCAAGAGAGUAAGAGGGUGAGGAGGGGGCAAGCAGUCCCUUAUAUGGUAUCAGGCAUAGCUGGCUGUUGCCAGGCAACUGUGGGGCGGAGCAUACCUGGGUGUUGCCAGGUAGCUGUGGGGGUGGAGCUUAGACAGAAUGCCAACAAAUUCCAUUCCAGUAACUGAGAGAUUCCUGACCUAACCACCUACUCAUCUGUGUAAGGUGAGGCAGAAGACCAUAGACCUGCCCAGAGGAAGGGAAGGGAAGGGAAACAGGAAGUAUCUAGAGAAAACAGAAAGUUCAAGAGACAGGAAGUUAAGGAAACAUAGACCCUGGAGAUAACGGAAUAUGCUAGCUAGGGAUAAGUUGUGUCUUAGCUAAACGCACUAGGUAGAAGUUGGCAAGACGGCGGACAGAGAGCAUGUCAUGAGGUUCUCCUCUCUGUGGAUAGACCAGAACUGUUGUAACAGGUCACUAAAAGUUCCCCUGAGGGGACACGGGACACUGUAGAAGAACUUCAGCUGCCCCAGACAAGCCAUGCUAAUAAAAGAAAAUGGAAAUCUCAGAGCCCAGGAAGUAACAAAUCGGUUCUCUUUGACUUGGCACAGUACUAACCACAAUAGCCGAAAGAUUUGAGCAGAUAUAACUUUUCAGAGAAUCCUCCAAGCCUUUGGGGGUCUUUUGUCUAAAAUGUCUGCUGGGGUUAAGGAGACAGAAGAUACAGAUAUCUCAAGGCCACACAUGUAGUCAUGUUGCCAGAGACACAGAGAGGUGGUUCCUCAUUUUUUCCACAGCGUCAGCUGGUAUUCCUCAUAAGACUCCAAACUGUGGGUAUCUGUGGGCAUCGUUCACUGGCAGCUAUGUCUGACCAACGAAUGAUUGCUCAGGCUUUUCCCACUUGAAUUCUCUCCUUUCAGUUAGAUACCUUCAGCUUUUCUAAAGCACAGCCUCCCAGAGGACAGCUUGGAUUCUAACAGUCUCUUAAGGACGGCUCAGUCUCCAUUCCAAUAUGACAGACAAGUGUGUGAAGGGAAGGUGGAUGAUGGCUGCCAUGAAUUAGAAGAAGACAUCUUUGACCUCACCACUCAAGAACUCCCCAGCCAUAUUCUUUAAGUUGAUUUCUCCUUGCCUCAUCACCAAGGUUCAUAGCAUUGAGCUGGAACUAAUGAUGGAUAAAGAGGAGGCUACUUCUGUGUGGCCAGGGUAGUGCUGGGGUAGCCUGUGAGAGGUCUGUUCAAGAGACUUACAUUUUCUCAAAUUCUUUCAAAUUACCAAUAACCACCCUGUGCCCCAACCAUCAACUCUGGGUGGUUAUUAGCAUUGGUUCUGGUCUCUAACCUCUCCCUUUACUGUUAACCCAGUGCUAAGCCCUCCACACCAUUGAGGAAAUGACCCAGAGGCAAGAGUAGGACCUAGUCCAGACUACAGCUCCACAGGGAACUGUGUCAAGCCAAAGCUCCUGGGACAACUGGGAAACCUUUGCCUGUCGGUCCCUUAAUGCCCAGCUAAGUGGUCAGAUGACAGACAGGCAAGGAUUCCACUAACAGUGAUGCUGCGGGCUUCUGUCGAAAUCAAACUGUUGUUCACUGUUUGAAGUUCCUCUACAUUGUAUGAAGCAAUAGUUUUUCAAGUUGCAUCUUGUCCUGAAGGACUCCAUUUUACAAAUGAAGGACCACAGGGACUCUGAACUUCACUGUCUAGCACCAACCACAAGGCACAGACUGAUUAAUGACAUAUUCUCAAAAGUGAACACAUUAUCACUCUACAAAUGUAUCAGAGCAUCUUGAGACCAUAUGAGCCCAUGGACAUACAAAAAUCACAGUAAGAAUACCAGGCCUGAGAGCUAAUCGAACACACCAGAAGAAGAACAACAGUUCCCACCAACCCCUGUUAGGCUUCACACUACUGCUGCUAAGUUCAUCUUGAACUGCCUCCCAUCUGUCCACCUGAUGGUUCAUCUAGACCCAGUCCAUCCCUUUGUCUCUACGGCCUCCACAAUCACACUCUUCACAUGGGCAGCUCAGGCUGACCUCAGACGCAACUUAGCUCUGACACACCCUGUAGAUCUGUAAGAGGUUAAUUACAUGAUUCCAACAGAGGCUUGCUUUGCUUCUGUGCUUCCCCCCACCCCCCUACCCUCGCUUUGGCCUUUCAGUAAAGUCACCUCCUUGAGCUAUAUUUCUUUAACUAUUUUCAACUAUUUUGUGACCUACAGAAGGAGAGAGAGAGAGAGAGAGAGAGAGAGAGAGAGAAAGAGACAGAGACAGAGACAGAGACAGAGACAGAGAGAUAGACACAGAGAACAAGAGGAGAGAGAGCAUAAGAGGAGAGAGAGAGAGAGAGAGAGAGAGAGAGAGAGAGAGAGAGAGAGAGAGAAAUCUGUAGAUUAACAGUAGUUAGAUCAGAAUAAAAGAAUGUGUGUUUGCCCUGACUGCCAAGGGAGAUGGGGUCGACUGGUCAACAAAACCAACAUGGCUUGUAAAUCUCUGCUAUUCAAUAAAGUCUUAUGGAACAACA